UGGCGGCAGGCCUAACACAUGCAAGUCGAGCGGCAGCGACAUGAACAAUCCUUCGGGUGCGUUCAUGGGCGGCGAGCGGCGGACGGGUGAGUAAUGCCUGGGAAUAUGCCCUGAUGUGGGGGAUAACCAUUGGAAACGAUGGCUAAUACCGCAUAAUCUCUUCGGAGCAAAGAGGGGGACCUUCGGGCCUCUCGCGUCAGGAUUAGCCCAGGUGAGAUUAGCUAGUUGGUGGGGUAAGAGCUCACCAAGGCGACGAUCUCUAGCUGGUCUGAGAGGAUGAUCAGCCACACUGGAACUGAGACACGGUCCAGACUCCUACGGGAGGCAGCAGUGGGGAAUAUUGCACAAUGGGGGAAACCCUGAUGCAGCCAUGCCGCGUGUGUGAAGAAGGCCUUCGGGUUGUAAAGCACUUUCAGUCGUGAGGAAGGCAUAUGCGUUAAUAGCGUAUGUGCUUGACGUUAGCGACAGAAGAAGCACCGGCUAACU
rnacentral:rRNA from 1 species